rnacentral:tRNA from 1 species
GGUGGCUCAGUGGUGGAGUGCUUGUCUUACGUGCAGGAGGCCUGGGUUCAAUUCCUCAGCACCA